CUUUACUGUAGCCUGGUAUUGGGUUCGGGCUUUGACUGCGCAGGAUAGGUGGGAGACUAUGAAGCUGCCCUUGUGGGGGCAGUGGAGUCAUCAGUGAGAUACCACUCUGUCGAGGCUAGAAUUCUAACCGUCUGCCGUUAUCCGGCGACGGAACAGUAUCAGGUGGGCAGUUUGACUGGGGCGGUCGCCUCCUAAAUGGUAACGGAGGCGCGCAAAGGUUCCCUCAGGCUGGUUGGAAAUCAGCCGAAGAGUGUGAAGGCAGAAGGGAGCUUGACUGCAAGAGCAACAACUCAAGCAGGGACGAAAGUCGGCCUUAGUGAUCCGACGGCGCUGAGUGGAAGGGCCGUCGCUCAACGGAUAAAAGUUA
rnacentral:rRNA from 1 species